rnacentral:rRNA from 1 species
GUCAAGUCAUCAUGCCCCUUAUGUCUUGGGCUGCAAACAUGCUACAAUGGCCGGUACAGAGGGCUGCGAUACCGUGAGGUGGAGCGAAUCCCUAAAAGCCGGUCUCAGUUCGGAUCGAAGUCUGCAACUCGGCUGCGUGAAGUCGGAAUCGCUAGUAAUCGUGAAUCAGCGAUGUCACGGUGAAUACGUUCCCGGGUCUU